rnacentral:rRNA from 1 species
GACGAACGCUGGCGGCGUGCUUAACACAUGCAAGUCGAACGGAAAGGCCCCUUUGGGGGUCCUCUAGUGGCGAACGGGUGAGUAACACGUGAGUAACCUUCCCUUGACUUCGGGAUAACUUCAGGAAACUGGGGCUAAUACCGGAUAGGAAUCCUUGCUGCAUGGUGGGGGUUGGAAAGCUUCGGCGGUUUUGGAUGGACUCGCGGCUUAUCAGCUUGUUGGUGGGGUAGUGGCUUACCAAGGCGUUGGCGGGUAGCCGGCCUGCGAGGGCGACCGGCCACAGUGGGACUGAGAGACGGCCCAGACUCCUACGGGAGGCAGCAGGGGGGAAGAUUGCACAAGGGGCGGAAGCCGGAUGCAGAAACGCCGCGGGCGGGAUGACGGCCUUCGGGUUGUAAACCGCUUUCAGCAGGGGCGAAGCUUGUGGUGACGGUACCUGCAGAAGAAGCACCGGCUAACUACGUG